GGGGAUAUAGCUCAGUUGGUUAGAGCACCUGCCUUACAAGCAGGGGGUCAGAAGUUCGAGUCUUCUUAUCCCCACCA
rnacentral:tRNA from 1 species